UAUGAAAUGAUGAUAAUUUAAAAUCAAUUUCCAAACUCAAGAAAUAAAAAUAAAAUCAUUUUAUAGAAAUGUUUUAAAUUUUAUAAAGAUCCUCACUAGCUGCAUCUUUUAAUUACAAUAUACAGAGGUCUUUCAGAAAUAUAAACCCAAUUUAAAAACAACCAUGAAUGAACAUAUCGCAUUGGAUGGCACUGAUGGAAAUAGAAACUAUUCAACUUUUUGCAUGUAUGUAACAGUUUCAGACUUUGACUCAAAGGAGGCCUAGUGCAAACAAAAAAAUAAUGACUCCCAAGGAGAAGGCAUUCUGUGUUUUGGAGCUUGCACAAACACAAUCAGUGAUUCUUCUCAGUGAUGGUUUGAGGACAGUUCUCCAAGGAUGCACUCAAGAGGAAGAGCAUCAGGAAGUUACAAGCACUUCCAGACAGAUGGAUGCUGGUGUAAGAAAAAAUAGCUGGGCCAAUCUGGCAUUUUGUCGUGCACAUCCAUCCAGCAGAUGGUGAAUUGAGUCUGGGAGGUGUUUAUACAAAUACUUAUGGUAAGUCCAUUUCUUAAACCAAUCAGGAGUUUGGAUAUAUCAUAAACCAGUGUGUGGCAUAUUCUCCAUAAACACCUCAAGAUUCCUCAAACAAACUGCAGCUAUUUCAAGUGAUAAGAUGAUAAGAUUGUUUGGUCAAGAUUCUUCAUGGAAAUGCAGGAAUGAUUUGAAGAGGAAGAUUUCAUCUAAAAAUUAAUUUUUGGUGAUAAGAGCUCUGACAAUGAGUCACUGCCACCAAUGAAAGUGUCAAUUGUGAUGCUCUUUGCUGCAUCUAGAUGGAAUUGGAAUGUCUGCUUGAAUAUUUGCUGCAUCAAUAAUGGAAGACACAUUGAAUAUUUGUGAACUAUAUAAAACAAACUUGAGUUAUUUUUUCAAGUGAUAUAUCAUAUGUAUAUAUCUUUUCAAUUGAUAUCUUGUUUUGACUAAUUUAAAUCCAAUCCAUAUUUCUGAAAAUCCUUGUAUAUCUAUAUCAUAAAUAAUCAACAUAUAUUUAUAUUGUAGAACAAGAAUAAUCAUAUCAAAAUUUUUCUAGAACCAUUGAUUGUAUGAAACCUAGAUAAUGCUACUUAAACUUCUGUCACUGCAAGAAUAACUACUAUCAAUGGCCCCAGUAUUAUUGUGUUACAUUAUCUUAUUCACCG
rnacentral:lncRNA from 1 species